AGGAAGAAGCUUAGAAG
rnacentral:sRNA from 1 species